CAUAUAUAUCAAUUCAUUGCAAGCUGGUGCGACAAGCUCAGCAUUUCCUAACAAGUACUUCUAUGGUCUAUGGUGGGGAUUGCAGCAGCUGAGUUCAGUAGGGCAAAAUCUUAAUACAAGCACAUACGUUGGGGAAAUCAUCUUCACCAUCAUAAUCUCGACGCAAGGACUAGUACUUCUCGCAUUGCUUAUUGGGAAUAUGCAAAGAUACCUCCAAGCCACAACCAUGCGACUAGAAGAGUGGAGAGUCAGAAGAAAUGACACUGAACAAUGGAUGCAUCACAGGCAACUGCCUCCAGAAUUAAGGGAUUCCAUCAGAAAAUAUGACCAAUAUAAGUGGUUGGCUACCAGAGGGGUUGAUGAAGAAGCUAUCCUCCAAGGACUACCUAUGGAUCUUCGGAGAGAGAUCAAACGUCACCUAUGCUUUGAUCUAGUUCGAAAAGUUCCUCUGUUUGAUCAAAUGGAUGAAACUAUGCUAG
rnacentral:misc_RNA from 1 species